rnacentral:rRNA from 1 species
UACGGAGGGAGCUAGCGUUGUUCGGAAUUACUGGGCGUAAAGCGCACGUAGGCGGCUUUGUAAGUUAGAGGUGAAAGCCCGGGGCUCAACUCCGGAAUUGCCUUUAAGACUGCAUCGCUUACGUACUGGUGAGAGGUAAGUGGAAUUCCGAGUGUAGAGGUGAAAUUCGUAGAUAUUCGGAAGAACACCAGUGGCGAAGG